UACGAACCAUGCAAACGUUAUUCGGAAUCACUGGGCUUAAAGGGUGCGUAGGCGGUGCGGAAAGUUGGGUGUGAAAUCCCUCAGCUUAACUGAGGAACUGCGCUCAAAACUUCCGUGCUUGAGGGAGAUAGAGGUGAGCGGAACUUAGGGUGGAGCGGUGAAAUGCGUUGAUAUCCUAAGGAACACCGGUGGCGAAAGCGGCUCACUGGAUCUCUUCUGACGCUGAGGCACGAAAGCU
rnacentral:rRNA from 1 species